rnacentral:rRNA from 1 species
UAUGGCCUACGGGGCGCAACAGUAGGGAAUCUUCCACAAUGGGCGAAAGCCUGAUGGAGCAACGCCGCGUGGGUGAAGAAGGUCUUCGGAUCGUAAAACCCUGUUGUUAGAGAAGAAAGUGCGUGAGAGUAACUGUUCACAUUUCGACGGUAUCUAACCAGAAAGCCACGGCUAACUACGUGCCAGCAGCCGCGGUAAUACGUAGGUGGCAAGCGUUAUCCGGAUUUAUUGGGCGUAAAGGGAACGCAGGCGGUCUUUUAAGGCUGAUGUGAAAGCCUUCGGCUUAACCUGGGGAGUG